rnacentral:rRNA from 1 species
AACCUGGUUGAUCCUGCCAGUAGUCAUAUGCUUGUCUCAAAGACUAAGCCAUGCACGUCUAAGUACAAACUAAAUGAUGGUGAAACUGCAAAUGGCUCAUUACAACGGUUAUGAUGUACCCGGGAGUUCCGAUGGAUAUUUCCAGUAACACUAGAAUUAAUACAUGCUCCUGCGUUUAUUAGUUUCGCACAGUCCGUCGCUGAGUCAUGGUAAACAGUUGAUCGACUCGACGUCCCGGAACAGUUUCCGCCCCAUCAGCUUCGAUGGUUGGGUAUUGGCCUACCAUUGCAACAACGGGUAACGAGGAAUUAGGGUUUGAUUUCGGAGAGGGAGCCUGAGAAACGGCUACCACAUCUACGGAUGGCAGCAGGCGCGCAAAUUACCCAAUGCAGACACUGUGAGGUAGUGACGAGAAAUAAUAAAGCGGGACUUCUGUUUCGCUAUUAUAAUGAGGAAUAACCAAAGGUCAUUCCGAUUAGCAACUGAUGGGAAAGUCUGGUGCCAGCAGCCGCGGUAAUACCAGCGUCAGUAGCAUAUAUAAAAAUUGUUGCAGUUAAACGUCCGUAGUCUGUACGUCGUCCCAACUCCCUGCAGUCUCCGUUUCU